rnacentral:rRNA from 1 species
CCAAAAGAUCGAACGGGGAGAUUCAUCGUCAGCGUCGCUGGCUUCGCGUCGGUGGGCGAUGCGCCGCGGUUCGUCCGCGGGCACGCUACCGUGCGCGCAUGUCCGGCGUCGUCGUCGUGCACUUCUCCCCUAGUAGAACGUCGCGACCCGCUGGGUGUCGGUCUACGGCCCGGGUGAGGCGACUGCCGCGUCGUCGGUAAAACGACACGCGGCAAACCCUCGGAUGCCCGGCCGGCUGCCCGGCGGUACUCGCACGGUAUCAGGCCGCAAUGUGAAUAUUUGCGUCAAGCCCGUCGCAAGCGCGCGCCACGGUUACUCGGAGGUACGGACCCAGCGCCGUCCCCGGUCCUGGUCCGCUGUUGGCCGACGGUGACCCUUUGACAGGCCUUCAACGGGGCGACGCGGAGGUUAAACUUCGCGCCCGCCUCGAUACCGGUCGGCGACGCUACUGCUUUGGGUACUCUUAGGACCCGUCUUGAAACACGGAA